rnacentral:rRNA from 1 species
AUGCACGCUGGCGGCGUGCCUAAUACAUGCCAGUCGAGCGAACAGACGAGGAGCUUGCUCCUCUGACGUUAGCGGCGGACGGGUGAGUAACACGUGGAUAACCUACCUAUAAGACUGGGAUAACUUCGGGAAACCGGAGCUAAUACCGGAUAAUAUAUUGAACCGCAUGGUUCAAUAGUGAAAGACGGUUUUGCUGUCACUUAUAGAUGGAUCCGCGCCGCAUUAGCUAGUUGGUAAGGUAACGGCUUACCAAGGCAACGAUGCGUAGCCGACCUGAGAGGGUGAUCGGCCACACUGGAACUGAGACACGGUCCAGACUCCUACGGGAGGCAGCAGUAGGGAAUCUUCCGCAAUGGGCGAAAGCCUGACGGAGCAACGCCGCGUGAGUGAUGAAGGUCUUCGGAUCGUAAAACUCUGUUAUUAGGGAAGAACAAAUGUGUAAGUAACUAUGCACGUCUUGACGGUACCUAAUCAGAAAGCCACGGCUAACUACG